rnacentral:rRNA from 1 species
CCUACGGGAGGCAGCAGUGGGGAAUAUUGCACAAUGGGGGAAACCCUGAUGCAGCAACGCCGCGUGAGUGAUGACGGCCUUCGGGUUGUAAAGCUCUGACUUCAGGGACGAGAAUGACGGUACCUGAGGAGGAAGCCACGGCUAACUACGUGCCAGCAGCCGCGGUAAUACGUAGGUGGCGAGCGUUGUCCGGAUUUACUGGGCGGAAAGGGAGCGUAGGCGGACUUUGAAGUGAGAUGUGAAAUACUCGGGCUCAACUUGAGUGCGGCAUUUCAAACUGGAAGUCUAGAGUGCAGGAGAGGCGACUGGCCUUCCUAUUGUAGCGGUGACAUGCGUCGAGAUUAGG